rnacentral:tRNA from 1 species
CCCUGGUUGGCUCAUUUGGUAGAGGGCUCCACCGGGAAUGGAGAGGUCCCGGGUUUGACACCCGGACCAGGGG